AACAUUAAAAGCAACAACUUUAUUACAGCAUAAUACAACGUUUAAAGUCUUUAAGAGUCCUCUCACUCUUUUUCUUUUUGCUACUCCAAACCCAACACAACACGAAACUAAACCCAAGGGAUACACGCCGCGGAACGGAGGCAAUCACGGCUUCCGGUCAGGCACCGCGGUGAUUACAGACACGCAUCUUUCCCUUGCAGACGUUAGAAAGGUACUCCGCGCGAGCCACAGGCGGUCAAAGUCCUCAGGCCGCAGCGGAAAUCGCGGGGUGAGAGCCGGGACGGGUUGCGCCCUGUUCCGCCGAGAAGUGGCCCCGAAGAAGUAGCCACAGUCGCCAGCGCCGGCUAUCAGGACACAGCCCGAGGGGACAAGCGCUUUCUCUGACGCUGUCUCUCUCUUGCCAGACAGGGCGACUUCUGAGCGCGCCAACCCGGCUGCGCCUCCCUCCCUAGGAAGUCAUUUGUCCUACAAGGGCGUCCGCCCCGCUCCACUCCUCGACGACGGCGCUGGGACGCGACCCAAAGGCGGGAACGGGCUGCUGCGGAAGGAGGCGGAGGCGGGCUGAGUGCCGCCCUCGGCGCGCUGUCCCCGCCCGGUCCCGUCCCGUCCUCCGCCUGGGAGCCUCCCCGGCCAGGUGUGUAGUCGGCGCCGAGUUCAGAGAGUCCGAGACGGCGGCUGCGGCGGGGUGAGUCCUUGGCCACGGGGAAGUCGCGCUGUAUGGGGUCGGAAAGGAGCUCAGAGGGGCAAGGUGGGCGGUGCUGCCGGCCCUACCUUUCGCCUAGGCUUGCCCCUGCUCGGUUUCUUUUCCAGUCCACGAGCGCGUAGCGGGAUCUG